rnacentral:rRNA from 1 species
AGGGUUCGAUCAUGGCUCAGGACGAACGCUGGCGGUGCGCCUUAUGCAUGCAAGUCGAGCGAAGCUUUUCAGUAGUUUACUACAGAAAAUGACUGAGCGGCGAACGGGUGAGUAACGCGUGAGCAACCUACCUUAGUUACUGGGAUGGCCCGAGGAAACUCGGAUUAAUACCGGAUAUUCUUAUUUAAUCACAUGAUUUUUUAAGGAAAGGUCAGCCGAACUAAGAUGGGCUCGCGUUCUAUCAGCUAGUUGGUAGGGUAAUGGCCUACCAAGGCUACGACGGAUAGCUGGUCUGAGAGGACGAUCAGCCACACUGGGACUGAGACACGGCCCAGACUCCUACGGGAGGCUGCAGCAGGGAAUAUUGCGCAAUGAGCGAAAGCUUGACGCAGCGACACCGCGUGUGGGAUGACGGAUCUAGGUUUGUAAACCACUUUCAGGAGGGAAGAAAAUGACGGUACCUCCACAAGAAGCCCCGGCCAACUACGUGCCAGCAGCCGCGGUAAUUC